GGGACCAGUGAUGAGCACUGAUGAUGUAUGAUCUGGGGAUCAUGAUUACAGGUCUGGGAGUCUGAGGUCCAC
rnacentral:snoRNA from 1 species